rnacentral:sRNA from 1 species
CAGCCUCCCAAAGUGUUGAGAUUACAGGCAUCAACCACCAUGCCUGGCCUGAGAUCUUUUUAAAAUUAUUUUUUAUUUCUAAAGCAAAGAAACUUGACAGCAGAGUUGUAUUGACUGAGUUGCACAUUGAGCCUAGCCCUAGCCCUUUUAAGGGGCACUAUUUGGAACGGCCUGGGCUCCCCAGAUCUAAACUUCUCGCUCUUCACCAUCCAGUUUUCAAGCCGGUGUGAAGCCCCUGAUGCUAACCAGCAGUUACAGCAGGCCAUGGAGGAGCGGGCACAGCUGGAAGCACACCUGGGGCAGGUAAUGGAGUCGGUUAGACAACUACAAAUGGAGAGAGAUAAAUAUGCGGAGAAUCUCAAAGGAGAGAGCGCCAUGUGGCGGCAGAGGAUGCAGCAGAUGUCAGAGCAGGUGCACACAUUGAGAGAGGAGAAGGAAUGUAGCAUGAGUCGGGUACAGGAGCUGGAGACGAGCUUGGCUGAACUGAGGAACCAGAUGGGUAAGCUGGGGCUGGGGUGACCUGGGAGCAGGAAUGGUGUCAGAGGGCUGU